UAUUACCUACGGGGCGCAGCAGUGGGGAAUAUUGCACAAUGGGGGAAACCCUGAUGCAGCGACGCCGCGUGAGUGAAGAAGUAAUUCGUUACGUAGAGCUCUAUCAGCAGGGAAGAAAUACUGACCUUACGGUCAGCAGACGGUACCUGAGUAAGAAGCCCCGGCUAACUACGUGCCAGCAGCCGCGGUAAUACGUAGGGGGCAAGCGUUAUCCGGAUUUACUGGGUGUAAAGGGAGCGUAGACGGUGCGCCAAGUCUGGAGUGAAGUGCCGCAGCUUAACUGCGGAACUGCUUUGGAAACUGGG
rnacentral:rRNA from 1 species